rnacentral:ncRNA from 1 species
AUGUUGUAUGAAAGGAGAAAAGGUUAGCAAUCUCCUUGACAAGGAUGAGGCCCUCAGGCAUGACAAGACAAAUGCUUAAGGCAUUGACAUCUAUUUUGUGGCAUCUAACCAUCAUUUUUU